rnacentral:lncRNA from 1 species
AGCUAGCGAAGACCUACAGGGCAAAAUGCUUCCACUAGCCGUACAUAAGGUUGAAUAUGUACUAGUGGGUUCAAGGUCAAACCAUGCUUGACUCAGUAUUUUUGCUGGCUGGAAUUUUAUUCUGAAUGCGUCAAAAUGAAUGGUGAGGUAAUGGACACAGACCAUUCACUUGUGACAAAAAUUAUUUGCUUUUUUUUUUUAUUAAUAGUAUCAAUAAUGUACGUCCAAGUACUUCAAUAUAUAUGAUAAUGUACUUUUGAUUUUUGAUAAGUCACAUAGGGAAGAAAAAAAAAUAAGUGGGCUAAUAGUCAUUCAAACUAAAACCCUACUAUUUUUGGGUUUGUCGGAGUCAGAUACUAAUCAUAUAUGGCUUACAACAUAAUGGCGGUUGCGGUUACAGCGGUGCUGUUUCUAGCGGUUGUGAUCGCUCCUCAGUGGACAGAGACAAAAAAACCACCACGACCGUCGGAUACAUCGGAUACAUCGGGUACAUCGGGUAGAGACAGACGUACAAUGUGCCCGUUAUCAAUCCCUGGAAUCGUCCAAAAUUGCUACGCAACGUUAAAUGCGUUUCCAUCAAAAGAAUGCUGCAAGGAUCUCAAAACGGCAAGCAAGAGAGAGGUGACUUGUCUCUGCAACAAUGUCAUUGCACAUCCAGAUCCUCUUUACACCAACACCAACCAAGUCAACAAGGCAUGUGGCGUUCUUGACAAAUACGCAUGCGACGGUACUUUUUCUUUGGUUUUCCUUUUGGAUCUUUUGUGGUUUAUCAGAAGUUAUAGUUUUAAUCUUGUGAUUGAUUUUUGCAUGUUGUUAUGUAGUUGCACCUACUUUUACUAUUGUUUACACUAAUUAUGACAUGAUCAUCAUCGCUGUUAUACAAGAUCCAUAAAAAGUAAAUUAAAUUAAAAAUCCAUUAAUAUAUUCCGCGGUUUUGCAAAUAUCUUAAAAAAUAGUACAGUAUCUUACCGUACCAUAUUAAUUAGUGCAAUCUUUUGUCAAAGAUAAUUAGCUAACUAGUGCAGUUUUAAACAAGACUUAUUUAUGGUAUCUAAUUGAUUUCGGUUUUGUGUGGCAAAGCAGGCAACUCUAAUGGAGGAGCAACGAAAAAGAUUGUUGCAUCAAUGGGCCUUUUUGGUGUGGUUGCAAGUCUGUUCUUUUAAUUCAACUCUACAAAAUUCUGUGUAAUUGUUCUUCUCAUCAUUUUUGUUUGUUUUCAAAUCUGACUACUCGAACAUUUAUCGAAUCAACAAACCUUAACUUUAAUAAUUCCGCUUCGUCAAUGUUGGUAUUAAAACCUGGUCUGCGUAAUUUGACAGAUGUGUAUAGAUUAUUUUUUAGGUUUGCAUUGGUUAAUGUGAUUAUCACGUCUUCAUACAAAUGCCCCACCCGAAAUUUCAUUUCAAUAUAUAUUAUGGUAAGCCGUACGCAGAUGCAGAUCAUUUAAACAUAUUUGUUACUACAAGGGUUUCAAUAUUCUUAUCAAUUUUUAGUAGGUCUAAUUAAGAUGUCCAGUUAUAUACAUUUAAUUUGAAUUACAGUGGAUUUAAUGAAACAUACCAAAGUACAUACAUUCAGGUCAAAGGCAGUGAGAUAUUUUAUUAGUAGAUAACUAUACUAGCAAAAACAACAUACUGAAGAAGCAAGCUGAAAUAUAUUUUGGUUUGCGAUGAAGUUGUAAUUUGACCAUUCACAAAUGUUCUUAAGAAAAAACAAGAAUUGUUUCAUAAACAAGGAAAAAAAAAAAACGCAUCAUCAUUAUUCAUUAGCUAACAGCAAGAAAUUGAAGAAGCAAGUUGAAAUCAUCAUGUAUGCGAAAAGCUUGGUAAGAACCAUCGAGCAGAGAGUUCAAGUAACGAACAAUCGAAAUCAAAUUUGUGCAGUGGCUCCAUCUCCCGUGUCUCGUAAUUGAACAGAAAGAGAUCUUUUGUGGUCGUGUCAUGGCUAUCACUGAAAUAUAUAGUAUUUCUAUGGAGUCCCUCAACUUCAUUGGCGAGCACGGUGAUGCCUAGAUCCAAAAGCAUUGCCUCGUCGCCCAAAGAAUCAGCAAGUUCAUAUUUAUCAAGAAAUGUCCCUGACGAAUAAAACUUGUAGACGUUGAAUGACUGGAUUCUAGACCAAUGUCUUAACAUUCUUUCAACCAAGAGGACAUCUCCGGUUACUGUGACUACAAGUUUUGUCUCAGCAACGCACCAUGAAUUACUUAAUUGACGACUACGAGGACUUAACCACUCAGAUCUAUAGACAUGCAUAAAACAUUGAAAGGCUUUUCGAGGAAUCUCUCCAGAAAAAUCUAGGAUUGUGAAAAGAUUUCUGUAGCUAAAUGAGUAAAGCUUGUGAUCCUUGUAAACCAUGUCAAGAGAAUCUAAAAUAAUUUCUGGAAUUUGAUUCCACAACUUAUCUCCGUUCUUGGCAUAAACCACACACCAAUAUCCAAGCCCCCACAGAGCUAUGUACUCUUUGGUUUUCUCGUCAAUCCAAAACACAGGGGUACGUACGGUAUUAUUACCUUUGAAUAACUUAACGUGGUUGUGAUCGUCGAAAGUUAGAAAAUCAUCAUCUAUGGUUUGGUCAACCUUUACCAUGCCAACUUGUUGUGAUUCAAUAGCGGGAAGACCGAUCUUCUCGUAGGUGAAUGGAUUCAAAAUGUAUAGAUUAUACUUUGAAUCUUGCAUCAGGAGCCAACUUCCAUAGGUUGCUAGACAAACACUCUUUGCAAAUUCAACACCAAGAUCUUGCGUUUGGUAAAGUUGGUCUUUGUCCUCGGGAUUGAAAAAAAUCGUGCAUGAACUGUUUUUGUUGUUGUUUUUGUCUUUGGGGAAGAGCAUCAGCCAAGGGAUCUGAUUUUUGGGCACGGAUUGUUUCGAAGCAGAGUACCAAGACGAACACACCGAUUUGGCUUGUCGAAAAUUAGCAAAGCUGAGGCGUUUGAAAACUAAGUUCAAGAGAUCUAGAGGAAGAUCCGACCAGGUAUUAGGGUUUUGGUUCUUCUCCAUGAAAACGACAAUAUUUGAGAUAUAUAGAGAGAGUUCUCUUAUCAACAAAUAAUUAUUUGAGUGAGGAGAUAUCUCUAACAAAAGAUUUUAUAAACCGAAUAGAUCUCGGAAUUUCAUGGUUUGCUUUGUUAAAAUAUGGGCUUUUGUGAAAUUCCGAAAUAUUGGCCCCAUUAAUUAAUCAGUAUAUAUUUUGUUCACUUGGAUCCAAUAAGGUGCAAGACAUGAAGAGAGAAAGGUAACAUAGGUGAACGAUUUUGUUCCCUAAAUAAAGGUUCAAUUCAACAAUGUGAUUCUCACGUCUUAUACACAAAUGCUCCACCAUAAAUUUCAUUUCAUUAUAUACCUAUUUUGACACCGAAAAGAGUUUGGAAUAAAUAUACCUAUUUUCUUCUUAGGUCUGAAAUGUCCAGUAAAAUACAUUUGAAUUACAACUGAUUUAAUCAUUUAAUGAAACAGACCAUUAGUUAUACAUAUACACGUCAACGGCAUUGAAAUUGUAUUAGUAUUCGCCUUUCUUCAUAUAUGAUUAGAAUGAAUGAACUGUCGAAUCCAUAUCAAUGAAUAUUUAGUUUUGUUAUAAUCCUAAUAAAGAUAUGAUCUGGAUUAUAUUAAUGACACAUAUCUUUGAAUUGUCAGGGCCGUCCAGCUUAUAUUGAUUUUCGACAUUCUGUCCUUAACAACUUCUUCGCAAAACAUUCCAUUUUAUGUAUUAAUGGUUUUAUUUUAAAUUGGCUUCCAUAUAUAUACAUGAACAUGCCACAUAAAAUAUUCAUUCUCAAAAUGCGAAGAACAUGGGUACUGGCGGAAGAAAGCUGUAAGUUUUUAGGUCAACUAUGUAAAACAUAUUUAAUAAAUAGUAAUCAACAAUCUACAUGCCAAGACUCCUAUAUAAGUUAAUGCAGUGUUUAAGAAGUCACAUACGAAAAAGAAAGUGAGAUAAUAAUCCAAAAAAAAAAUCCAUAUUUUUGCCAACGUUUUUAGACGAUCAAAUGGCUUACACUAACCAAAUUUCAGCGGUUGUGUUUCUAGCGGUUGCGAUUGCUCCGCUAUUAGCUGAGCCACAGUCAACGAUGUUUCCAGAGAUGACUCCUGAAUGUGCCACGGUUAUGCCUGACCUGCUCGAAAAGUGUUUUGCAACCGGUAGUGUGACGCCAACAGAAGAUUGCUGCACCGAUCUAAAAUCCGCAACCUCAACGCAAGUGACUUGUCUUUGUGAUAACUACAUAGCAAACCCCGCCGUUUCAAACAUCACCGGACCUUACUCCAAAGCAAUCACAACUAAAUGUGGCGUUUUCGACAAAUACUCUUGUGACGGUACUAGUAAAGGUACGUUACCAACUCUUUCAUGUUAUAGUAAUUUCAAACAAGAAUGGUGCGUUCAUGGUAAUUAAUGGAUUUUGGUUUUGUGUGGUGAAGGAGGAGAAGAAAAGAAAGGAGGAAGCAGCAGUAGCAAUGGUAAAGACAAUGGCAAGAGUGAGGGAAAUGGAGGAAGAGCGAACUCGGUUGCUGCAUCAAUGGCUAUGUUUGGUUUGCUUGCAAGUCUCGUCUUCGUAAUGUUUUAAUUUAGUUAUUUGUAUUCAUACCAAAUUUUAUGUAAUUUUUUUCUUCUUCUUCUUCCUUUUUCCUUGAAAGAAAAUCCGUGAACCCAAAACAAUUACGUACGUUUUUGAGUCUAUAACAUUUUAUCUGCAUUAUUUUAGGGUGUUUUAACUUUAUUGGGCCUUAUUAACGGGCUUAUAGUGGCCCACGGAAAAACUCGCCAACAAAAUAAGCCGGUUUGUAAACUAAUUUUAUUCCAAUUUCAACAUUUUGGUUUUUGUUCAAUUCGAUUUUCCGCAAAUAAAAAAGCACGAAGCCGGUCCAAAACCGGCGAUGCUUAUCCGUUUAGAAAUGAGAAGGUACUAGAACAAAAGCCUUAUUCACUUCCUUUUGUUCCCCAAAUUCUCGAAAUCGAAACACGACUUAAAACGAAAAAGACGAGACUUUUAACACUCAGACCUAAACCAACACUCUUCCUCUUUCUAUCUCUCUCUCGCCGAUCGGAAGCAGAUUUUUCUCAAAAGGAUGGAUUCAACGAAGCUUAGUGAGCUAAAGGUCUUCAUCGAUCAAUGCAAGUCUGACCCUUCCCUUCUCACUACUCCUUCACUCUCCUUCUUCCGUGACUAUCUCGAGAGGUACUUUCGAUCUAAUCUCUAUGCUUAGUUUGUGUCUGUGGUGGUUAAGAGUUAGUAAAGUAUUGAUCUUUGAGUCUAUGUUUGUGUAAAGUGUAUUGCCCUGAUCUCUAGCGAAAAUCUGUUGUGGAAUUGAUAAACCCUUUACUCUCUUGUGGAUGAAAGUUCCUGUCUUUGGUUUUGGGUUCUUAGAAUUUGUGUCUGUGAUGUUUUAGUUUAGUAAAGUAUUGAUCUUUGAGUCUCUGUUUGUGUAAAGUGUAUUGCUCUGAUCUCUAGCUGAAAUCUAUUAUGGAAUUGAUAAACCCUUGUACCUUUGAUCUCUGUGAGGCUAUUCUGUGGUUUCUGAUGAGUUUUGGGAUUUUUUAUGAUUUCAGUCUUGGUGCUAAGAUACCUACUGGUGUCCAUGAAGAAGACAAAGACACUAAGCCGGUAUAUAUUUUUUUGUUUGGUUCAAUUGAAUUCGUUUGUGUGUUUUGCAGAAGAGUUUGUUUUUGAUUUGAUUGUUUCUGUUUAACAGAGGAGUUUCGUAGUGGAAGAGAGUGAUGAUGAUAUGGAUGAAACUGAAGAAGUAAAACCGAAAGUGGAGGAAGAAGAAGAAGAGGAUGAGAUUGUUGAAUCUGAUGUAGAGCUUGAAGGAGACACUGUUGAGCCUGAUAAUGAUCCUCCUCAGAAGGUACCAUGAUGACUAAGCAAAACCUUAGCUUUUGAUUUUACUAAUUUCUGUCUGAUUGUGUGUUUCUGACUCUCUUGGUUUCGAUACAGAUGGGGGAUUCAUCAGUGGAGGUGACUGAUGAGAAUCGUGAAGCUGCUCAAGAAGCUAAGGGCAAAGCCAUGGAGGCCCUUUCUGAAGGAAACUUUGAUGAAGCAAUUGAGCAUUUAACUCGGGCAAUAACGUUGAACCCGACUUCAGCUAUUAUGUAUGGAAACAGAGGUCAGUACAAGUUGAUUUUGUUUAUUUUAACUUCCAUCAGAUGGGUUUCUUUGCCUAAGUGUCUACAUUUGUGUUUCAGCUAGUGUCUACAUUAAGUUGAAGAAGCCAAACGCUGCUAUUCGAGAUGCAAACGCAGCAUUGGAGGUACAGUGGUCUACAAUUUUCCUUGAGAAUUUUGUUUUAUGGUGAUGAUAUUCAAUCGUUUUGUGUUUAUGAUCACAGAUUAACCCUGAUUCUGCCAAGGGAUACAAGUCACGAGGUAUGGCUCGUGCCAUGCUUGGAGAAUGGGCAGAGGCUGCAAAAGACCUUCACCUUGCAUCUACGAUAGACUAUGAUGAGGAAAUUAGUGCUGUUCUCAAAAAGGUAUGCAUGUGUUUGUCUAUAUGUUUAAUCACUUUUGAUUCAUUAACAAUGCAUAAGCGUGAUUCUUAUACAAACAUUUUUUUGAAAUUUGUAGGUUGAACCUAAUGCACAUAAGCUUGAGGAGCACCGUAGAAAGUAUGACAGAUUACGUAAGGAAAGAGAGGACAAAAAGGCUGAACGGGAUAGAUUACGUCGCCGUGCUGAAGCACAGGUAGCUUCAUAGACCAUGAAAUCAAUCAGAAUAAUAUUUUGAUAACAUUAGUCAGUUUUGUAUUGACCUUAUCACUUAGCUAUAGACAUGGGUUUUGUUUAUAUAAUGUUGGGCUUAUCCAUAUCUCUUUUUCUGUAGGCUGCCUAUGAUAAAGCUAAGAAAGAAGAACAGUCAUCAUCUAGCAGACCAUCAGGAGGCGGUUUCCCAGGAGGUAUGCCCGGUGGUUUCCCAGGAGGUAUGCCCGGUGGAUUCCCAGGAGGAAUGGGAGGCAUGCCCGGCGGAUUCCCGGGAGGAAUGGGUGGUAUGGGCGGUAUGCCCGGUGGAUUCCCAGGAGGAAUGGGCGGUGGUAUGCCUGCAGGAAUGGGCGGUGGUAUGCCCGGAAUGGGCGGUGGUAUGCCUGCUGGAAUGGGUGGUGGCGGUAUGCCAGGUGCAGGCGGUGGUAUGCCUGGUGGUGGCGGUAUGCCUGGUGGUAUGGACUUCAGCAAAAUAUUGAAUGUAAGAGCGACUAUUUGUGAAUUACCAAUAUCCAGAGUUUUUGAAGUUAAAUUGACAUUGUGAGAUUGGUUUGAUAUUUGUGAGCAGGAUCCUGAGCUAAUGACGGCAUUUAGCGACCCUGAAGUCAUGGCUGCUCUUCAAGAUGGUAUGAUGACUCAGUUUAAAGUUGCAGUUUAUUAAUGUUUUUUGAAUAUUUUUCGAGUCUUGAAUGUUGUUUGAAUGCUAUAACAGUGAUGAAGAACCCUGCGAAUCUAGCGAAGCAUCAGGCGAAUCCGAAGGUGGCUCCCGUGAUUGCAAAGAUGAUGGGCAAAUUUGCAGGACCUCAGUAAACAAAACAAGAAGCUUGCUUUUCUUUGCCAAUUUCUGUGUUUAAUUGCGUGAGAUAAGAGAUAUGUUGGAGAACUUUUGUUUUCUUUUAUGUUGUCGUUGCAGAGGAACUUUAACAGGAACAAAACUCUUUUCUCUUCGUUAGUAAUCUACCCUCUUCUCGUUUUUCACUUCCUGAGUUAGAAGAUUUAUAUUGAAAGAUUCGUAUAAGUAUAACACUUCCAACAUUGUUUUUAUGCGUACAUUGUCCUCAUGCAGACGAAUUGUGUCUGUCAGACACAUCAAUCCAUACCAUAUAAGAGAAGAAUAUGUAAUUUAUUUGUGAAUCUGACAGACACAGCAAUCACAGAAAAAUAUCUAUGGGUGGACUUAAAGGGCCAUUUUUAGUGUGAAGAAGAAGAAGCAAAGGAUCUCUUCGUUUAGUUCGUUGACAAAACAUGUAGGAGACCAAAUAAUAUUCAAGUCCAGUGUUGACGGGUUUGUUACAUUCACAUUUAACUUUGUCGUAUCAUCUCGUUUCAAAUGUUUUGACCUAAGUAUUUGAUAAAACUUUGAAGUGGAUUCUACAAAUAAUUAAUAUACUAUUUGACUGGUUUGAUAUCAUCAGGGUAGAAAAUACAUAGAUUUUAAUUUUAAGGAAUUAUGUGGUUAGUAAGUAAAUUUUAUCUCCUGUAUUCUAGCCAGUUGUUUAUUAGUUCUUUUUGAAAUUUCGUGAGUGUGAAAAUAUAUAUUGUGAAAACGAUGUGAAAAAUGCAAUUUCAAACUAAUUAUUAACAAAAAUAACACUCACAAAAAUAAAUUAGGUUGUGACUAUCUCAUCCGGACUUCCCUCAUACAUAUAGCACAUUUAAAUUAUCAACAAAAAUAACACUCACAAAAUUUUGAAAAGAACUAAUUAACCACUCACUAGAAUGUUUGAGACCAUGCCAAAGAUUUCGAAGUUAUGUGUGUGAUCUCCACAAUGAGAAAUGGUUUCACUUUUAGUUUAAAUUAAACAAACUUUAUUGGUUCUCGUUACCAAAAAUUAAUGUUAGUGGUGCGACAACUAAUUCCACAGAGGAAAGGAUUGUGAUGUGGAUGUACAUUGGAAACUCUCCACAUACUAUUUCUUCUUUUUUGGCAAACCACAUACUAUUCUCAUACGAAGUUUAAUUGAUCAAAAUCAUAGUGUCUUUGAAAACCAAUAUAUACAAUUCUAUAAAGAUGAAAAUAAUAGAUACAUCAUACAUGGUCAAUGAUGAAAAAAAACCAAAAUUAAAAGGAGCCACACAUCUCUAAGUUAGAAGAUUCAAACGUUGAUAGCAAAUCUUAGAUUUCCGAAUCGUCCAAAUUCAGAAGUGACAUGGUUCGGUGUUGAAGACAGAACUAAACCUACGACAGUUUUUUUGUAUCCUGGUCUUGUUUGUGGAAUAAAGUCAAAUGUUAUUAGUUAUUACUGUAACGAGUUUUUAAAAUUUACAGAAUUAAUUAUGUAACUUAUGAUGAAAUUUCAAGGUAUUAUGUAAAAAGUGUGUUAAUAAUUUAUUAAGGAGUAUUAAAUAUAAAUUCAUGAUUAAAGUCUAAAGAUAACAAUAACUAAAUAUUUUGGAGUAAUUAAUCUUGUUAACAAAAAACUCAAAAUAAUGUGAUGUUUAUUAGUUUUAUACUAAUAAUUUUCUUAAUAUUUGUUUAGCACAAUUAUACAAAUAUUUUAUAACAUAAAGAUAAGGAUACAAAGAUAUGCAGGAGAGAACUAGUGUCUCAAUUUUUUAAGUUUUGUUUAAACGUAAAGUUGGACCCUAAUACUGAAACAUACAUUCAUCUUAUUUUCAUAAUAUAUAUUCCUCGGUUUGUGAAUAUGUGAAUAAUUUAUACAAAACAAAGAAAGUAAACUUCAAUCUGUAUUCUUGACUUUGACGAAAUCCUACCAAACCCUAAUUAAUAAUACUUGAAAACCAUGGUGCACCCUUACUGCUUUACAUGGAUUUAUUAUCCUUACAUGUUUAUGAUUUGUAUGCGUGUAUAUGUUUACAUAUAAUGUACAUAUAUAUAUAUAUGUAUAUGCCACGUAUGUAUAAACAUGACAACUCAAUGCUUGUGUUCAUCUCCAUAGAGUUGCCAAUAUGUCAAUGGUGAACAGUCAAAACCCAAAAUCAUGAACACCAAAGUCUUGACAAUAAUCCAAAAACAUCUUCUCGUCAUUGAUUCUUUCCGGUGACCAUAUCGGAAAAUCUGCAUCGGCGCCGGAGAUAUUGUGGUCAUAUAAUGUUCCACCAACACCAAAGUUACUAUCACUCCAAGAGGCCUCAUCUUUAGUAGUUUCGUCGGACCAUAAGUAACUAAACAAUUCAUCAUCAUCAUAAAUGUUGUCAAUUAGAUGAUUUUCAUUAUCCAUCGAACUGUUUUGAUCAGUAACCGUGCUACUACUUUCUUCUUCUGUUGUCGUGACACUUAUCUCCACGUAUUUCGUGUUAGUUGUCUUUGGUUCCACUGAGACAUCGUCUGGAUUGGACGGAAUGGUUUUGGAAUUAUCGAUAUUAGAAGGUUCUUGAUUUAGGGGUUGAUGGGUCAUAGGAUCGAUUCCCAUCUUAAGAAGUUUCUUCUUGAUAUGAGUAUUCCAAUGGUUUUUUAUUUCGUUAUCUGUUCUUCCAGGUAAUCUUGAAGCUAUCUUAGACCACCUAUAAUACAACCAAUGGUUUUAAAUAACAAAUUAAUUACAAGAAUAAAUAAUAUUUUAUAAAGUGUUGGUGGAUAUAUAUGUUACAAUCUUGGUAUAGAAAAACAAGAAGAUUGACAAAAUAAGUUAACAUUAUCUCUGGAAGAGAAGGACGUUACUUUGUCUUGAAGUAGCUUGAAGUUGAUUUCAACGAAAAAUCAAUGCAAAUCAAAACUUAUUCUACUUAUUUGACCAACUUAUUUGGAACCAUUUGGCAUAAUUUACACAACACACAUUAAUACACUAAACAUGUUGGAUCACAUGCAAUUGACUUUAUAUUUUAUGAUGAUCAAACCAAUGUUUAUCUUAAGUCUCUAGUUUUUGUUACAACGUAAAAUUUGAAUUUUUAAUAUAAAUUUGAAAAUUUUAAGCCUCCGUUGAUAUUAUAUGACACAAAUCAUUAAGUAAGAAUUCAAAAAAAAUGUGGAAUUAAUAUAUGAUUAUUAGGCUUACUUAUUGCCGAGAUUAGCAUGAAGAUCUAUGACAAGUUGUUCUUCAUCAUGCGAGAGAAGGCCUCGUUUUAAGUCAGGCCGGAGAUAGUUAGUCCACCGGAGGCGGCAGCUCUUUCCACAGCGACGGAGACCGGCCAGCUUCGGCAAAGCACGCCAGCAACAAUGGCCAUUGGUUAGUAUGAAGUUUAUAAGCUUCUUAUCUUCCUCCACCGUCCACGGCCCUUUCUUCACCCCUAGCUUGUCACAGCAUGGCUGUCUCCCCAUUAAAUACUAUAUAGAAAUGAUAUGUGUGAUUGUAUAUUAUGUUAUAUGGGGAUGUGAAAUAGAGAGCGAAAUGGAAGAGAUAUGGAAGAAUAAAGUUAUCGAGGAUGGAAAAUCUCAACAGCUUGCAAGUUAUGUCAAAAGCUUACCAAAGCUCACCCACCUAUAUAUAACCUUCUCACACCUUUCCCCCACAAUUGGUUUCAGGAAAAAAUAACUUUACAUCUUAAUAUUUUCGAAAUUGUUUUAGUAACUUUUAUUAAAAAUUCUAGUGGCAUUAUGGCAAAGCAUUUUAACUAGUAACGGUUAUAUAUAUAUACAUGGUUCGAUUGGUAACACAAAAAAUUAUAAAAUCUUUUGUCGAUAUGAAAAAAGUAAUUGAUAACAUAUAAAUAAUUAAAAACGGUAUAAAUAACGAACAUAUAAAAUGGUAUAAAAAGCUGAUAAUAGUUUUUUUUGUCGCUUUUAGUAUUCUUUUAUGUGAUUGGUUAGAAUGAAAAACAGUACGGACUACUAAUCACCCUCAUAAUGUUGUCACUUAGAGAUUUCUUGGUAUAUAAAUACAAUUAAUCACCCUAAUAGUGACUUAAUAUAUGUAUAAUACCCGUCUUCACUAUUUUAUCAUUAAAGAAUGUCUAAUCUAAAUAAGAAUUAUGCAUUACUCGUUCAUACAAAAGUACAUAUAGAUCAGAAUUUUUUUAAGGUACGUAUGUAUAUACAGGUGUCAUGAUGGGGAAAUUACAACAGUUUCAAAGAAGAUCUUCUGUAUCUGACUUUAUACAUAAUACGUUCGUUUAUAUUUUUAUAUUGAAUGGUUCAUUUUAAUUAGGAGUUAGUCAGCUAAAGAAUUACGAAUUCUGAUAAAAUAAGAUUAUUCUAAUAAAUAAUGAUUCAGGUUUUUUUUGGUCAGAAAUGAUUAAGGUUAAGAAAUAUAAUUUGUCUUACUUUGUCAAAUCUGUUGCUAGUAGGAUCAUAGAAAGGAGUAUUGGAGAUGUCGCAUUUGGUUGGUGAAAAUGACUUUGGAACUAAUGUGAAAGGAUAGGAUGCGUGCGAAUGUACGCAAUCACACGUGCGAUUCAUACCUUUUUUACUCAAAUACUUGCUCAAGUUUCAAAUAAAUAUAUACUUUGUAUUUAUUUAUUAAAAAAUGUAUUAAUUUCAACAUUAAGUACUAAGGAUCUUGAUAACUAAAACUAGUGUAGUUUUAAGUUGUAGGCACUUAUUCUGUCACCAAAACUGUAUAUAAAUCACCGACUCUAAUAGUUGAUGACACACACAAAAAAAAUGAAUUUUUCAUUGUUGUCGCUAUCAGCUGUGAAAUAAACACGAAUAAAAAUAUGAUCCAGUCUUUACAAAACCGAUUUUACAUAAAAUAUUCAGAAUUUGCCCAUAAUAAUACUCUUUUCAGAAUCUCAAAUAAUUGGCUUGGUCCGGUUCAACUAUGGCAAAAUCCGAUAAGUUUUGAGAAUUGAGAUCUUUAGUCCAUUGCGAUAAACCAUUUUUUUUGGCAACCCUAACAAACCUAUUAAGUAUAUUAUAUACGAGUCUCUAAUUUUGGUAAGAUUUGUUUUUUACAUAACAUAGAAGAAACUUAAAAGCUUCAAUAAUGAAUUGCCGCACAAAAUACUUUGUCGCCGAUACGAAAAAUAAGUAUAGACGAAUAUCCAUUUGACACAUGGUGUACACGUAUAGAUCACUGUAUCAAUAUAUGUUUCUAAUCUUUGCGACUUGUGGGUGACUUGCAAUUUUGGCUUCAUGGUUUUGCUACAAAUUGAUCUAUCUUUCAAUAUUAAAUUAAUAUUCUUCGUCGUAUCAUAGUGUCUACUUAAUUAUUGUCAGAAUGUGGCUCGCUCGCUUCUUUGUUUAAUCGGAUCGGAAAUGUUUUAAAAAUCUUCCAUGAAAAAUUAAAGAUUGUAUGCUAAGAUAUGAUAGUAAUCCUGGUAAAUGUUAUUGGAAGUGUUGAUAUAUCCUAAAUGAUGAAGUAGGCGGAUAUAUAAGCGAGAAAGUCUUUGGCGUACCGAAAUAAGGGAUGUAACCUGAUUCUAAUUUCUAAAUGAGUACACAUUUAUAGGUUUUGGGAGUUUAUAUGUUGCAUUUAUAACUUAAUUUGGGGCACAUAAGAGCAAUGCCAUUUUUUAUUAUAAAAGAAGCUAGGUUUGUUGACUAUAAUUUUCGAAUGGAUUCUGAUAAUCCAAUUCGAUAAUUAUUUACACUAUUAUUUCUUUUAAAACCUAUGUUCAUAUGGUAUUAAGUCAGAAGUGUUUUGUUUUUCUGCUCAAUGAUGAAUUUCGCUUCAACGGGUAAUUAAUGCUUUAGCAUUCUUUUUCUUGAUUCCGAUUUCUUUGACUUGUGUUUAGUACUACUACUACUCUACUGCUCAAACUAAUAUAAACAAAUAUUUUUUUUUUCUAGUUACGAUUUGUCCACACCAAAUAUAGAUGUUCCCACUUCUUGUUCUUGCCCACGAAAUUUUUCCAAUGAGUCACUGCUAUCUUCUUUUGCUGGCUGAAUCAUUAUUCACUAAGUAAUAUAUAUUAAAAAUUCUUAGAAUGUGGUCGUUUAAUUUACUAUAUAUGUGUGAAAAUAUGUGAAUCUUUGUUUCAUGGAAUCUAUUUUUGAAGUUACAAUUUCUUCGAACAACUUGUGAGUUGUGUCUCUUGUCUUCUUUGAUAAUCAUGGCCCCCAGACAAAAUGUUAUAUACACAAUUGUCGGAAGUGUCUGUUUCCGUGUGAUUAAGGCAGAAAGAAAGAGCAAAUUAAAUAGGAGAAAAAUAUUUUCACUAUUUGAUCAAGAAUAUAUGUCUAUGUAAAGUACAUAUCAGUGUUUAAUGUAAAACCAUUUUUUUUUGAAUAAGUUUUUUUCUCAAGAAUUUUUAUGUUAUAUGUAAAAAGGGACUAUGGGAGUUGGAGAUCCCUCAUUAGCACAAGUAAAAAGUCUCGAAAAUGCGAAUAUAUUGUGUGUAUAUAUGAUUAAGUCUCUAAAACUCAAUAAACACAAUUAUAAAAGUGACAUUUCAACACCCCACCACUUUCUUGUAUUUCUCUACAACUCUCAUUUGCUAAUAAUUAAUUAAUUAAGAUUCAAGACUCUUAAUCAUCGCUUGUUCCCUUAAUCAAAAGUUUAAAAUCGACUUCUUGCUUUAAUCCCAUUUUCAAGUCACCACUUACGUAACUUAGGAGUAAUGCCAUCGUCAUUAUAUUAUGCAUGCAUAUAUAUAGUAAAUUCAUGUGGGUGUGUAACUGUGUAUGUAUGGAACUGUAAAUAUAAAGAUGUGGCACUAUUGUUAGUCAAGUCACUUUUGUCCCCUUUAUUUAUUUAUUUUUAUUAUUUUUUGUCCCCUUUAUUGUAGACUAUAUAUUUAUUUAUUCAAUUUCUAAGUAACUAAGACCAUAAUAUAUUCAGAGUAUUAUUCUGAAAAAAUGUUAUACUGUUUGUCUGUUUGAUAUGAUUAUCAAUGGUUCAUAUUCACAUAAAAACUAUAUUAAAUUUUACCUAUGUUACAUGGUACUGAUAGAUAUCUAAUAUAUGGUACUAUUGACUUAUGUUGAACAAAUAAUAUCCUUUCUUACUGCAUAGGUUACAUGAGAGAUGUUGCAUGGUCAAACUAUUAGUCUAGUUUUGUGUAAAUAAAACACCGGACCGGUUAUAAAGAAAAUCAAGACAUAAAGAGGUUUGUUAUAAGAGUAUUUUAUUUUUUUCUUAAUUAAUUGGCUUUCUAAAUGUUGAAACAAUUAGAUUUCCUAUAUUUUAGCAAGUACCUAAGUUUUAGAGAAUUGAAUCAAAACACAUUGAUGAGAAAGUUUUGUUGGUUAUAUUUUUACUGAAUGAAUAAUAUCAAACCAAACUAUUCUAUUACUUAUACCAUUUGAAAAAAAAAUUGUCCAAAAAAAAAGAAUACCAUUUGAAUCAAAAUGAUUUAAAUAUCUAACCGGGACUACAAAAGAAAAUGUUAUCCAAUGGGUUGGGUCUUGUUGUGAUCAAAUAUGUGAGGGCCAAAUUGUUAUGAAACAAUAUUUAGGCCCAGAAUAGUCUCACUAAGUGCAAUCAAGCCCAUGACCGUCAUACACUAAGUUAAUAAUAGAUAUAAGUUAUAACAAAAGAAAUAAUUGAAAUAGGAGGAGAAGUAAUGAAUGAUCAGAAAUGUGUCCGUGAAAGUUUCAUGUUCUUGGUCUCACUUUCAUAAUCAUGUUUAUGGUCGCUCACACGUAAUUGUCGCAAGAGUUAACUACACUACGUUCAGAAGUGCAUUUUCGUAAUUAUGUAGAGAUUUCACAAUUUGGCUUAAACUAACCAAAAUGCCCUGGCAUGAUGAGAGCUCGUAGAUAGGCUUUUUAGCAUUUGUGUUAACUUUAUGCAUUCAAUCUUAAACAUUCAUCUAUCUAACCAUACUAUUUUAAGUAAGACACAACCAAACCGAUCUCUAACAAAAUUGAAUUAAAUUUUAUAAUGACACAAAUUUUACGAAAACUCGAAUCUAACCAAAACCAAAUCCGUAUCAUACUAGAAACUUAAUUGAAAUGUCGACCCCUAAUUCAUAUUACAUCAUCUGCUAAAGUUAGUUGCAUAAGAGUACCCACAUCGGUUAUUUAUUUGUCGGUGUCUGUAAAUAUAAGAAUAAUCAAUAAAAAAUGGUAGGUGUUUUUAGUUUUAAAUUUGUGGUUUUAAGAAAACAUUUGAAACAUAAAAAAAAAGAGAUGAUUUUAAUUUCAUUACUAAUUUAUGCUAAAGACAUUUUUCAAAAAUUGUGUAACGAGGAUGGUCUAAUGGUGUUUUGUAGAGCUUGUAAUUUAAGAUAGUUUUUACGUUGGAAUGAAAUUGAGCUAGAUCCGAUUGUCUAGCCGCCAGUCUUCACAGGUAACAACAAGUCAACAACCGACACAUAAAUAAAAUAAAAAAUUUGGACAAAAUAGUUGAAAAUAUUGUAAAGUGUUGUUGUUAUUUUCUUUAUUUUAAAAAUGUUUAAGGUAAACGUAUAAAAUCAGCGCGCAUGCAAUAAAAUAAGUCAAAUUCAACCUUUUACUACUACUACUAUAUUGAAGUAUUUUUUUUGUUUUUUUGUAGUAAAUUACUAUUGAACAAUGAUUAAUGGAUAAUAAGGUUUUGAAUAUCGACAAGUGGAGUGAUGCGAUAGUACACUGUUUUCGCGGCUGCGUAUAGAUAAUUGAUUGAAUUAGACUUCAACACUGGUGGCGACUUGGUCAAGAUUGGCGUUGUAUCAUCAUAAUUUUUUGUCCAAUAAUGUUAUUACAUAUUUAUGAUAGUAUAUAGUACUGUACAAAAAAGUGAUUAUCUAUUACUCUUUCUGUUUUAAAAUUAGAUUUUUUAGAAAAAAAAUUAUUUUUAAAAUUGAGUUUUUAAGGUUUUUUAUGCAAUAUUUAUUAAUUAUUAUUCAUAUAUUAUAAACUUUUUUUUGAAUAUUUUUAGUUUAGAAUUAUAGAUUUUUUUUUUAAAGGUCCGUAUUUUUUUACAAAAUCUAUUAUUUAGAAAGAGAGAAUCUUAAAUAAAUUAUUCUUAUAACGCAAUACAAUCAUUUUUCUUUACCUUAUGAACUUUAUUUUUUUUUGUGAUUAGAAGAUAAAGUAAAUACUAUUUUUUCUGCAUGUCUUUUGUAUAAGUUUGUAACUACUACCACUUUCAACGCCGUCUCAAAUCUUUCACUCUUUUUUUUUGGAUUGCAAUAUGAAGUACCUAAGAAAUUUCAUAUAAGGUGAUCUAAAAUAUAACAAAAAUAAAAUAGUGUAAUGAUUCUCUCUGAGCCUACAAUAUAAAUGUCCACACUCCCUUUGUUCUCUCUUCACCACCACACAACACAAAACCUCCAAACCAAUAAUCAGAACACAGUGAGAUAUUUCUCUCUGAAGCCAAAGAUGGAAACGGCGUCUUCUAAUUUCUCUCUCUCGCAGAUCCUCAAUAUUGAGGAACCCUACAGCUCCGUAAUGCUCGGUGUCGCCGCUCUCUUGGCCGUUGUUUGCUAUUUCUGGAUACAGGGGAAGUCCAAAUCCAAGAACGGACCACCGUUGCCUCCGGGACCUUGGCCACUUCCGAUCGUCGGCAACCUCCCGUUCCUAAACUCUGACGUCCUCCACACGCAAUUCCAAGCCCUAACCCUAAAACAUGGCCCUCUCAUGAAGAUCCACCUCGGUUCCAAACUUGCGAUCGUCGUCUCUUCCCCUGACAUGGCUCGCGAGGUUCUCAAAACCCACGACAUCACUUUCGCCAACCACGAUCUCCCUGAAGUCGGAAAGAUCAACACUUACGGUGGUGAAGACAUCCUCUGGUCUCCUUACGGUACCCAUUGGAGGAGACUUCGUAAGCUCUGCGUCAUGAAGAUGUUCACUACCCCAACUCUCGAAGCUUCCUACUCCACUCGCCGGGAAGAAACCCGACAAACCAUUGUCCACAUGUCGGAAAUGGCUCGUGAAGGAUCACCAGUCAACCUCGGAGAGCAAAUAUUUCUUUCCAUUUUCAACGUCGUGACAAGAAUGAUGUGGGGCGCCACUGUUGAAGGAGACGAGAGAACGAGCUUAGGAAACGAGCUCAAAACCCUAAUAUCUGAUAUCUCCGACAUAGAAGGGAUUCAAAACUACUCAGAUUUCUUUCCGUUGUUCUCAAGAUUCGAUUUCCAAGGAUUGGUUAAGCAGAUGAAAGGCCAUGUGAAGAAGCUUGAUCUCUUGUUCGAUAGAGUUAUGGAGAGUCACGUCAAAAUGGUGGGAAAGAAGAGCGAAGAAGAAGAAGAUUUCUUGCAAUACUUACUUAGAGUUAAAGAUGAUGAUGAGAAAGCUCCUCUGUCCAUGACUCAUGUCAAGUCUCUCCUCAUGGAUAUGGUUCUUGGUGGUGUCGACACAUCGGUUAACGCAUCCGAAUUCGCCAUGGCAGAGAUUGUGAGCAGACCGGAAGUGUUAAACAAGAUCCGACUAGAACUUGACCAAGUUGUUGGCAAAGACAACAUCGUUGAGGAAUCACAUUUACCUAAGCUUCCUUACCUACAAGCGGUUAUGAAAGAGACUCUUAGGCUUCACCCUACGCUUCCUCUUCUUGUUCCUCACAGAAACAGCGAAACCUCGGUGGUUGCGGGAUACACUGUGCCUAAAGACUCCAAGAUUUUCAUCAACGUUUGGGCGAUUCAUAGAGAUCCUAAGAAUUGGGAUGAACCAAACGAGUUCAAACCUGAGAGGUUUUUGGAGAAUUCGCUUGAUUUCAAUGGAGGUGAUUUUAAGUACUUGCCUUUUGGGUCAGGAAGGAGGAUUUGUGCGGCGAUUAACAUGGCUGAGAGACUUGUUCUGUUCAACAUUGCUUCACUUCUUCACUCUUUUGAUUGGAAAGCACCUCAAGGACAGAAGUUUGAGGUUGAAGAGAAGUUUGGUCUUGUUCUUAAGUUGAAGUCUCCACUUGUGGCUAUUCCUGUUCCAAGGUUGUCCGAUCCAAAACUCUAUACAGCUUAAGUAAGUAAGAAGGAAAUUUGGUUUGAGCUUAUGAGAGGAAGUUGAAUUGAGUUUUCUUGUUUAAAGUUUAUUUUUCUUUAUUCGUGUUUGGAGUUUGAUGCUUUGUAAAAAAAGAUGUGUCAAGUUAAAUUUAAUUUUCUUAUAUAUAAUAAAAUAAAGUUUUAGUCACAAUAUAUAAUAACGCAUUAUUUUGGUGUCCAAAGUCGAUACCAUAAGCUAUAAAAUUCUUGGCAACAAAAUUACACAUACAGUGUAUGGGCUUAAGAACCACAGAAGUUUUGGAUAUGUAAACAUUAACGAUCAACUGGUACUCAAAACUUCAGAAUUUGACAUAUCUAAUGCAUGGUAAUUGGAAAAAAAAAAAUACCGUAAAAGACGCUAUUAUACAUUACAAAAAAUAUAAAUACUGUGUACACUUAAACAGUUAUUUACUUUCAUCUAUCUGUAAAUAAAUAAGUCAAAUUUUUGAUAUUUAGGGGGUGUAAUUGGUUCCUAAUUUAUAAGGAAUUUUGAUGACUUCAAUCAAAUACUAGAAAGUAAAAAAAUGAAAGAUUUUAAACGAUUGUUAGAGACUUUUUUAUAAUCUUGUUGAUUAGUUUUUCAUAAUUUUGUAAAGUUUUUCAAACAAUCUCUCUAUUUUGAUAAUACUUUUCAAUGAUUUUUCAUGACUUCAUUUUAAGAAGAAAAAUGUAGAAAGUCAUGAACCAAUAACAUAAUAAUUUAAAUUAUUAACAAUCAAAGAUUCUUUUGUUUUAAUUGAAUAACACAAAACUUUUAAUGACUUUAUAAGUGUAUAAAUCUAAUAACCCAAAAUUUAUGAAGAUUUUAAAUUAUUUUUUACAAAUCUUAAAUGAAUAACACAAAAUUUUAACAUACUUUUAAAAAGUCUUGAUUAAAUAACAACAAAUUUUACAUAACAGUUUAAAUCACUUAAAUUCUUUUGAAAUCAUAAACGAAUAACACCCCUUUAUUAGACAUUAGUCAUGAUAAUUUGGGAAAAUAAUAAUUAUAGUAAAUAAUGUUAUUAUCUUUCCUAAACAAGUAUUGCGCAGUCAAACAAUAACUCUUCAUCAUAAAUAAAUAAGUCAAAUUUUCGAUAUUUAUUGAACAUUGCUAUCUUACCUAAAAUUAUUGAUAUGGCAAUUUAAAUAUGUUUUGAGACAUGCCUAUAAAACUAUGACUCAUUUUGUUAUUCUAUGCAUCAUUUAUAUUUACUACAUUUUCUUACAUUGGAGCAAGGUAUUGCAUGAUCUCACCAUCUUGAUCUAACGUUUAAAAUGAAGUUUUUUUUAUUUGUCAUUAACUUAUAAUAGUUUUUCAUAUAUACCACUCAUGUUUUAUUACAUCCAUUUUAUACACUUUUCAUUGCUACAUAAAAAACAAAAAAUGAUUUUAUAAAUAUUCGACUAUGAGAUCUUUCGUGAGAAUUUGUUCUCUUAUGUUACAUUGAUAUGAUAUUGUUAUGUUUGUACGAUUUCUAUAAGAACUUCUAAUCGCUUAAGUUAGGAAGAUUUAUUGAAUAUUUAAAUUAUAUAUAUAUCUAUGUAGUUUUACGUAGAUUUUUUACUCAUCACAAGCAAUGGUGAAAAUAUAAAUUUUAGUGGUAUUAUUUAUGAUAUAUAAUUUAAAUAUGUAGAAAUUUUUAUAUAUCUUGAAGAUAUUUUUCUUAAUUUUGUUAAUAUAAAUCAAAUAUGCAUAUAUUUAAAAGUGUAUUGAUAAUUUUUUUUUCUCAUACAAUUUUUUUAUUUAGGGGUUAAGAGAGAAAAUAAAACAAAGAAGAAUGGCUUCCAACCGUUGUGCUGUCUGCAAAAUUUUGAAUGAAACUUGUGCUCCAAUGUGCAUUUAUGCACCACAUUUUCCAUCAAACGAUGCAAGUUUCAAAGUUAUUAUUCAGAUUUUUGGAGCCGUGAAUGUUUGCAAUAUCCUUGAUAAUCUUGAAUUUCCAGAACAACGAGAGAUUGCUGCCAACUGUUUACGUUAUGCUGCUGAGGCUCGUAUACGUAAUCCUAUUUCUGGUUGUCAUGACAUGAUUCUACAAUACAAGAAUAUUCUCAAUAAUGUUGAACAAGAUAUUGAAUCCGCGGUGAAUGAGCUUGGAACCUAUGUGGGACACGAUCAAGUACCAAAAUUUUAUGAUCUUCCAAUGCCAGAUGAUUUCCUCAUGACACCAGUCUCUUUAGAUUCUUUUAUUGCAAAAAUUAAGAGUUUAAACGAAGUUCAAAAGAAUCAACUUAUGCAACUCCCAACUGCUGCUGAUAAUGCACCAAUGAUAAUGAAUAGCAUAUUUGGGAAGAUGGAAGAUAAAAACCUGAAAGAUGGGCAUAGAGCUGAUGGUGCAUCAACAUCUGCUGGUAAGUGAUAUUGAAGAGAUACUUCCAUUUUCUGAAAAUCAAAACCAAAAAUAAUUUUAAUUAUGUCUUUUCCGUGAAUUUCUUUUAAACUCGAGUCUCCAUAAUAAUUCUGUGUUUCUCUUCUCUGUUUUUCCUUUUUAUAAUUCUACAGUUUGUAAUGUCUUAAGUUUAAUAUAUCACAAAGUUUUUAAGAAAAAAAAAACAUAAUUUGACCAGUUUAUAAAGAUUUAUUAACAGCAUUUCCAUAUUUAAUUUCCAUAGUUUUUUGCAAAUAGUAAUCUAUAUUAUAGGAUUUGAAGAUGUUUGUAUAUUCUUGAUUGGUAACUCCGAAAUAAUUCUAAAGUUUGUAACACUUAAAAACAUCAUGUUUUUCUACUGUUUAAAAAUUGGAUAUGAGAAGAAAUACAAUUCUCCGACAGUCCGACGAGGAGUGCUCUGUCGUCCAUACACAAAAAGCUUUUGGCUCAUUUUUUAUUUUUAUUUUUUCUUUUCUCUUUAGACAAUAUUUGAAUGGGACUUCAACACUGGGGGCGACUUGGUCAAUAUUGGCGUUGUAUUUCCUAUCAAAUUAUAUAUGUUAUUAUCAUUCGUUUUCUCCAAUAAUUCUAUCAGAGAUUAUCAUAUAAAUUAUACUAUUACUUAUUAGUACAAUGAAAAUUAAGAGUAUUUAUUAUAUUCAACAACUCCUUCUUUACGAAUUACGACCCAGUAGAAUUUGUCAAUAAUUAUAUUUUUUAUAUAUAUAUUUCACUUAUGAACUUUGAGAGUUAUCGUCAUUCAAAGUUAUAAUUUCAUUUGGUUUUAGUUUCAUAUCUCUUUCAUGUUAACUUCUUUUGUCUGCACUAAAACAUAUAUAUAUUUUUUUUAUUGUCCGCGUGGUCUUUGAUAUAUAUAGUAAUCAUUUUCAAAGCCGUCAAAUUUUUCACUUUUGAUUUUGAAUAUAGAGGAACCUGUUGACCCAAAAAAACAGAUUAUGAAGGAACUUAGGAAAUUUCAUACAAGUUGAUCUUAAAAAUUAAGCAAGAAAAAAGAAUAAAUUAAUGCAGUCAUUCCUUAAGCCUACAAUAUAAAUGUUCACACUCCCUUGUUCUAUCUCCAACACAACACAACACAACACAAAAAAUCCAACCCAAGAACCACAGUGAGAUCUUUCUCAGAAGACAAAAAUGGGAACAGCGUCGUCUAAGUCUAACAUCAACCUCUCGCAGGUCCUCAACACUGAGGAGCCGUACAGCUCCGUGAUGCUGGCCGUCGCUGCUCUCUUGGCCGUUGUAUGCUACUUAUGGAUUCAGGGGAAGUCCAAGUCCAAAAAGGAACCUCCACUGCCUCCGGGACCUUGGCCACUUCCUAUCGUCGGAAACCUCCCGUUCCUAAACUCUGACGUCCUCCACACGCAAUUCCAAGCCCUAACCCUAAAAUAUGGCCCUCUCAUGAAGAUCCACCUCGGUUCCAAACUUGCGAUCGUCGUCUCUUCCCCUGACAUGGCUCGCGAGGUUCUCAAAACCCACGACAUCACUUUCGCCAACCACGAUCUCCCUGAAGUCGGAAAGAUCAACACUUACGGUGGUGAAGACAUCCUCUGGUCUCCUUACGGUACCCAUUGGAGGAGACUUCGUAAGCUCUGCGUCAUGAAGAUGUUCACUACCCCAAGUCUCGAAGCUUCCUACUCCACUCGCCGGGAAGAAACCCGACAAACCAUUGUCCACAUGUCGGAAAUGGCUCGUGAAGGAUCACCAGUCAACCUCGGAGAGCAAAUAUUUCUUUCCAUUUUCAACGUCGUGACAAGAAUGAUGUGGGGCGCCACUGUUGAAGGAGACGAGAGAACGAGCUUAGGAAACGAGCUCAAAACCCUAAUAUCUGAUAUCUCCGACAUAGAAGGGAUUCAAAACUACUCAGAUUUCUUUCCGUUGUUCUCAAGAUUCGAUUUCCAAGGAUUGGUUAAGCAGAUGAAAGGCCAUGUGAAGAAGCUUGAUCUCUUGUUCGAUAGAGUUAUGGAG